GGCGCUCAAGCCCCGCCCUCCGGCCCCAAGCUGGGCGAACGUGGCAGCGGUCAUUGAGAAGUGGCCUUCCGAGGGCCGGUCACUAGGCCCGGGUCCUAGCGCACCACCAGGGCACACACGGGCUCACGCGACAGCCUGGGAACGUCUGGACCGCCGGUAGGAAGGCGGAAUUGAGGGUAGAAGAGAGGCCCGCAGAUCAGACCGCUCUCGAGGGGCUUCCUCGGGAAUCGGGAGGAGCUGCCUGCGGCCAUUAAUGGCUGAGAAACAAGCACGUGACACGCUGACACCGAAGGACCUUCUGCGGUUGCUAUAGAAGUAGCUGCGGGUGCACGGCUGGACUCUUGCCCUUCUCGCGGUCAUGGGGAGGAGCUUCUUCAAGGGCGGAGCCGGCUGGUUUCCUUGGAGAGCGCCUGCACCAAGACCCUUUGACCCCAUGGUCUGUCGUUGAGGCAUUUCUAGCCGCUGCUGCAUCAGCUGUUGGCCGCUAACACCCCCAACCCCGGACUUGGAGAAGCAGAACUCGGCUUUCUGCUGAUCUGGGCGCCGCAGUCAAACUUCGCUGCGUGGUUUCUGCCACUGCCUCGAGUGAGUAGGUAGCAUCUUUGCCCAAGUUGGGUGGGGGCUCUAGGAGCUCAAAAAAAGCUAUCCCCAGAACCUCCUUGUCACUCUUUGCAGUGGUCCUGGAGGCAGAGGUUUCUGGGGUUGCAGCUUUCAUAUACGAAGAGGCGGUGGCUACAGUUCCUAGCUUGCUAACCCUCCAGUACACACUCAAGCACUACUUGCUGUUUCUAGCCCAGGUGCAAGAGUUCACUGCCUUUCUGAGCGGGGCUGAGCGGGGCCUGAGAGGUCAUCCAGGGCCCCAUCAUGGUUCUGGUGGUUAGUAACUUGACCCCAGAACCCUUGUGGACCUCACUAGUGAGUGUCUUAGAGUUGUAGACUCUUCGUCUUGUGCAAACUUGGGGGGCAGAUGUAUGCCCAGACCUGCUGCCUGACCUUCACCCUGACUGGGCCUCCCACAAGGACCUGCCAAGAAUUACAGGACCCAGGCCAAGUGAACCUAGCUCUGUUGUGGGCUUGCGUUUGGAAGGGAGGCUGAAAGAACAGGAGAUUGGAAGCUCUUGUAGCACAAUAAACGAUUGCUGAACUU
rnacentral:lncRNA from 1 species